rnacentral:rRNA from 1 species
AACUAGGAGAUAGCUCGUUCUCUCCGAAAUGCAUUUAGGUGCAGCCUUAAUAGAGAGAUAUGUGGGGGUAGAGCACUGUAUGGCCUAGGGGGCGUAUAGCUUACCGAAGUCAAGCAAACUGCGAAUACCGUAUAUUGUUUACCGGGAGUGAGUCUACGGAUGACAAGGUCCGUGGACGAGAGGGGAACAGCCCAGACCGCCAGCUAAGGUCCCAAAUUAUGUCUAAGUGGGAAAGGAGGUGGAUAUUCACAGACAACCAGGAGGUUGGCUUAGAAGCAGCCAUACCUUGAAAGAGUGCGUAAUAGCUCACUGGUCGAGAGUAUCUGCGCCGAAGAUAUAACGGGGCUAAGACAUAAACCGAAGCUGCGGAAGCGUGAUAACACGUUUGGUAGGAGAGCGUUCUGUAGGCCGUAGAAGGUGUCCUGAAAGGGAUGCUGGAGGUAUCAGAAGUGAGAAUGCAGGAAUGAGUAGCGAGAAGGCGGGCGAGAAUCCCGCCGGCCGGAAGUCCAAGGUUUCCAGGGGAAGGUUUGUCCGCCCUGGGGAAGUCGGGACCUAAGCAUAAGCAAAAUUGUGA